rnacentral:misc_RNA from 1 species
GUACAGCUCAGCAGCCGGGUAAUAGGUCCGGGUUGUCCAGCCUUCUUGAAGCUAUGCAUGAGCCCCACCGUUUGCCAAUCAAAGUAAUUCUGGCAUUCCACUGAGAAUAGAGUAUGAAUCCUGUACGGUGCCUCCUGACCAUUUUCCACACCCAACACAACAUCAAUCCAUAACCACAACAAAACCCAGAUCAAGACCGUGAAUUUAGCCAUUGUAGCUCAAAUGCAAUGCCUGAUUCGAAAUGGG